ensembl:lncRNA
GUGGCAGCCUGCAGGUCGCAAUCUGCUCCCUGUUACUUCCAUGUUUAUUUUCGGCAACUUGGUUGACUUCAGGGGAACUGACUCGCACGUCUGUAAGUUGAGGGAGGCAAUAGCUCUUUUGCCGCAGUUCCUUGCCCUCUCUCAUGCCCGUUGAUGUAACCUUACACGGUGGCUUUGUCGAUAGUGACAAUCGCGUCGGGUCUCCCUCCCGUUUGCUCUCACUGCGGCUGCAGUUGUGCCGCUCCACCGCCAGGCGGCGCCCUCGCAGCGCAGCCCGGUUUCACAGCUCCGUCCCCCAUCCCCCGGACUGACGAUGGCCACAGCACGUCUUCAUAUUGAUAUGGCCAUUAAAUAUUAAGCAGAUGCAAUCAGUGGAGGUAGCAGCCUGCCAGCAGAGAGAGAUUCUGGCUGCUGCUGUGCGAAGGGGCUGGGCAGAGCGGCAGCUGAUGGAAGGUAUUAAGGAAGAGCAAAGUCCUUCAGGAAGAGCGCAGUGAGGACGCAGCUGGAAAAAACAAGCAGAACACAAAGAAAGAAGAAUUGACAUCUAAGGAAGCUGGUGUAUCAUAAGGUCUUUUCCUUCCACUGGGACAUUCACACAGUUAAAUACUGGGUUAUUAGUGCAGCAAGUCCAGCUUGAGUUGCAUGUUUGUUUUACUCGCUGUGAUAACUGUGUUUGGUAACAGCGGCCAGGAGAGCAAAAGGAAAUGUAUGUAACAACCUCUGUAAUGAGCACUGUGCCCCAAGCUGGAUAUUCUUUACUAAUGGAUUUAGAGAUCUGUUAGCAUGCACAAAUCAGGGAAGAGCUGGUUGUCCUGUGACUCAGACUUCACCUUUGCAGACAGGGAUUUCCAGGUUUGCACAGAGUCUAAAUGGUACUCGGCAGUUUCCAUCAGAUUCCUUUGACAAGGAAGGUACCUCGGUGCUGGAGCUGGAGCAGAGUGUGGGGAGUUAAAGCAAGGUUUGUGAGCAGCAAGACUUCGGCUGCCAAAUUAAGAGUGAGAAGAGAAUUUCUGAGCAGCUUAUGAAAAUUGACCUCUGGUCCUGCUAUGUUCUGCAGGACCACUGUACCAGCUAUUUCCAGUUGAAAGCAAGUAUCAUUUAUGCCCACUGUAGCAUUGAUUGCGUUCACUUCAGGAGAAGUUCAGUUUCCUGGAUUGCAUCGUAACCAGUGAUGGGAUGUGAUGUCACUACUACAAGCUAGAGUCAAAAUGGCAGAAUGGUGAGAUGUGAGUUCCCCAUCAAAGAAAAAGUUGAAGACACAGCCCUCGGCAGGUGAAGUGAUGUGCACUGUCUUUUGGGAUAGGAAAGGGGGGACCCUUUGGGAUUCCCUGGAGCCCAGAUAAACCAUCAGCUCUGACCACUACAUCAUGACAGGGCCUAAGCUGAAGGCCCAAACUUCCAGAGUCAGGCCAGAGAAGACAACCUUUCUCUUGCAACACAACACCAGGCCGCAUGCCAGUUUGAAGACCGUGAAGCACAAUGCCAAUCUCAGCUGGACCGUCCUAUCACAUCCACCAUAUAGUCCAGAUUUGGCACCUUCUGAUGGAUUAACUCUGUGCAGUAAGUUUGGCCUCGGGUCCUUCACAUCUGCCAAGGAAUUUGGAGUUUAUCCUAUCCACAGCCUUAGUAAUAAAGUCCACUGUGUUCAGUGUGCUUUCUUUGAAAAUUAUAACUGUGUAAGAGAAGCAGGUGAGUUAUGGACCUACUGAUGGUAUAAUUUUUAAUUUUCAGUUAUUUUCAGCAGAGAGUUGGUAGAGCACAGUAUUUCUGCAAUUAAUUUACUAUGUUGUGAAUACUAGUGCAGAAACAAGGCAGGGUGUGCAGGGAAAAUUAAAACUGUUGUGUUAAAAAAUCCUAGAAAAAUUCUUGUCCUGUCGUAGUAAAGCGAAGCUGAACGGCUUAUGAAUCCUAUGGGGAAACUCAGAAACCCUUACCCAGUGUCCUACAAAACCUUCCUGCUUUCCCUCUCCUGUUUACCUUAAGUUAGAUAACACAGAUGGCUUUCUUGAGUUGGUAGCUGAUCUACCCCUACUGAACCUCAUUAUUUACAAAUAAAUGUGGUUCUUCAUGACGUUGGUUCUUAUUAAUCUCCAUUUUACGUCCCACUAACAAGGGGAAGACAAUGAAGUGUAGGCAGAGGAAAAAGAGUCAAGGACACUUCCCCAGUUAUCUACUGACAGAUUUAUCCUGCCCUGAGGUAGGACCUUCAAUCACCUCUGUGACUGCUGAGGUAGCCAUUUGCUGAACUCUUUUUCAGCUUAGAAAUCCUUUAUAUGGACAGGAGGAAAAGGCGAUUCUGGUGGUAAUGUUUUCAUCGAGAUUUGUGUGUGAUUUGCUUUCCAUCUAGUACUAUCCCUCUAAUAUUUUUGCUAACUGUGAUACUGCGGUGAUGUUGCUGGCUGCGUGUUUCCUCUUGAGUUAAUGAAAUGAUGUUGACUCCUUUUUAAUUUUAAUUUAAUUAUUUUUUCUUGGCUCACAAUAGAAGACUAGAUUUUUGUUGCUACCAGCUUUGCCUCAUAGCCACCUGUGAUGUGUGGAAGGAGUUCCUGGCUGGCCUGUGGAUCCACAUUACGCAGUCCUUAAUUUACACUUUUUAGUGCUCCCAAUGAAAGUCUGACAAAAAGGAAAGGCAGUCUAAAGAAACCCUGUGAAAUCAGAAUACUUCUGUUCAUUUUCCAGUCACCGUUUAGAAGUUAGCUAGUUAGCCUAACAAAUACUGAUCUUUUGUUUGCAGAUACAGCUUCAGUCUGUAAGUCCAGUGAUGCAUGAUCAGAAUGGUUGUCUUUUGGUUAUGGAGCACAUAUUUCUGACCCAAGCUUUCACCUGGAAGCUUUAUAACCUGAUAUUCUUAUCAGCUUGCAGAAAAUGCAUGUAAAGGAGUGAGUGUUUGCUGUGUUCGGUCUCUUACCACGUCAAGGCCAACUGCAGCACAGCGUGUAUCUUCUUACUGAAGGAUUCAGUAACAAAGCAGCUUUAUAUAUUGACUAAGAAGCCAGAUGAAGAGUGUUUUUCAGCUAUAAUUCUACUAUUGAUGGUCAGUGGUUUUAUGCUCAGCCUGAAAUGUCUGUUUCACAACCUAACUUCCCACGUAUUUCCAUCGUUUAGUAGAAUGUGUUCUGUAAUGCAUGACUGCAGAAGACUCCCUAGAUGCAUAGUUAUCAAGAAACUAGCCUGAACUGGAUUUCUCCUCACCACUAGCCAGAGAAGGGGAUUUAACGAUGUCUCUCUCUGCUCUAAUCGGAGUUCUUGUGGUCUUGUAAAAACUGAUCUUUCUAGUCCUGCAGUCUUCCAUCCUCAUGUUAAAGUAAUAGGAGGGCGGCUUGUUGCAUCGUAUAGCUUUAGAACAAAUCUCUUACUUAGAGCUGAAUAGAAAUGUUUACGUUUAAGUACAGUUGGUUGUACUUUUUGUGAGAGCACAAAUGCUUUUGUUCUUUCAUUUGCAAAUGGUUUUAAAAUAAACAGGAAUGGCAAAUUUGUGAUGGAGUUCAUCAGGGAGUGGAUUUUCCUGUGAUAAUUUCACCCAUAUAAAUGAAACAUUCUUCCUACAAAUGAGAAACCAGUAUGUUUGGCCAACAAGGCCUGAAUCUCGUUUGAAGUGUUGGACCAUGAGGUUCCUUUAUGUUGACAUUAAUUGGAUCCAAUUCCCAUUGUUUCCAAAAUGUCUGCAUGGCUCACUGCAGCCCCAAGUGAACUUCACUGAGCUCUCCACUCAGAUAGUAAAUUGUAGUUCUGUGUAGCAAGGGUGCCAUCAGUCCCUGAGGAAUAUAGGCUUACCAGUACAACUCUGUUUUUAUUUCUAUACACACUUGUCCUGCCAAAACACUGCAUCAACAUAGCUGGUGCUGGCUCUGCUGCUGUGUUGCACUGCGCUAUUCGGUGUAUUCCUAAGGCUUAUUCUUAACCAAUGUCUCUUGUGCCAGGAUCUGAAUGCAGUUGAUGUUAGAUCUCUUUACAAUUACUGCCCCACAUCCUGCCCCUUUACUCUUUCCUCGAGUAGGUUUGUCGCUUAUUUCUUCAGGACUGUGCCUACUGUGGAACUGAGGAGUCCGAAUCACCACUGAAUGCACUGGCAGUAAAUAAGCCAUCUUAGUUGUCCUCAUCCAUUUUUGGUUCUUUCAUUAACAUUCCUGACACUUUUUUUUUAGCCCCCACAACUUUCUGUUUCUGUAUCUGCAGAAUACGUUACAUUAUAUGUCUAUUUUCAGUGAGAUGUUCUGAAGACAGAAAUUUUAAGAGAAUCCAAGUUAUUUGUUUUAAUAAGUAUCACGAUGUCCCCAAAUUCUAUCACUUCUCAGGAGAAAUUAAUUGUUCAUUAAUUCAUUCUUAAUGAAAUAGCAUUUGGAAGAGCAGCUCAUAUGUCUGCAUCUCACAUUAAGCAAAUAAUUCAUUUAUGCCAGUACACAGCAGCACUGUGAUGGUGUUGCUAUCUGAUAACUGCACACAGUUAACUCAGGUAAACCAUCAAAAGAUUCCAGAUGAAAAUUUGGUUGCUAAAGCCAUUCACUGCUUCAGUAAGUUGCAUAUUCCACAAACUCUGUGAAGAGUUCAGAAAUAUCUUUAAGGGUAAUAGGAAUACAUGCUAAGAAUGCAUUACUGCUCGCUGUAAGCCAGCUGCCUCCAGGCUGAUGACAUAUCAAUAUGCAGUAUGUUCUGUGAAGCAAAAGCUUUGUUUUACAUCUGGCAUCAUUGGUAUCAAUAUAAGGUGAUGGUGCAAAAGGUAGUUGGGAUUUCAAGUGGAGAGAAUGGAAAACAUUUGUUUUUGAUAAACCAAAUUGUUCUUGCAGCAAUUCUGGACGUAAAACCAUAGCUUAGUCUUUCAGGACUAGCAUUCCCCUAUCUCAAUCAAAUACAUUUUAUAUCUUUUUCUAAGAUAAAGAUCUCUCUUUCUGUAGGCAAGUUCGAUUUCUAUUGAUACUAAUGUAACAGCCAGAAAAACUGUUUGCCGUGGCCAGGUAAACCAAAUACAGACAGUGUUCUGAUGUAAAGCCAAAUUUGGCUCAUACUGCUAGCAGAAUUGGGUACUGGAGACCAGCUGUCUGCAUACGAUGGGGCAGUUUCCCCCUUGCACUUUCUCAGAUCACGUUGUGUUUUGGUAGUCUUAGUUAGAAAGGACUUGAGUUUUGUUUGGGUCCAGAUGUGAGCGAUGGGACUUAUUCUUCAUUCCGUAUUCCCUUGAUUUUUCUCGUGCUUCCUGUCUCUUGCCAAAGCCAAAAGUUCCAAAACAGAAACCUACGGGAAGAGCUUCCCUGGUAAUGUUUGUGUUGAACAGAAACAAACAGCAAAAUGCAUUUCCUGCAAAAUAGUUUUCUUCUGGGAAAUGUAGCCUGUGUCCUAGGCCAAAGGGUCUGUCUAAGUCUGAAGAUUUUUAGAUAAGCUUUUCAAUUACGGAUUCUUAUUUAGAGCACAUGUAAGUGUCUUUCAGUUUCUCAUCUUUAAUUUCUUUUGAUCCCACUCAGCCUUGAGAAAUGUGUUUUCCCUUUGCCAGAACACUUGAUUUCUUUCUUGAAAAGGAGGUGAGUGGACCUGGGGUAAGUUAAGAGAGAAAAAGAUUUGAACAACACUGAUUAGCAAAGUGCUCACUUGACCAACUGUUGUAACUUCUAACUAAUAUCUAUAAGCAUACCAAACUUCACAUAGUCCGCAUCAGAAGAAGAGGUCUUUUCUUAAGUGUUUAGGAUGGAAUUCAUACAGCUAAAGCUUAAACACUGGAAGAUUUGCUCUACAUCAACACCUGCUGUUCUGCCCUUGCUGCAAGAAGGAAGCUGGAGCAAAUACACUUUUCAACUGUGACAUAUAAUCCAUGUGUGGAUUAAACUGUGCAUGCAACUACAGCUGAGAAUUCCAGAGAAUCCUCCUUCCUCCACUCUGACAGUGCAAAGGAUGACUCUUCAACAUUUCCCUUCUUGUUCUAAGAAAAUUGGACUGAUUGUCAAAAGUGAUUUUGGACAUCCUUCCAAUGUUCCCCACUGGGAAGCAGAGAUGAGUUACACAUGGAAAGGAGUUCCACGUACUGUGAAUUCAUCUGCUUAUCAUCUUCAGCAUUCCCAUCAAACUUUAUCACCGUUCUCUAGCCAGGAUGGAUCUAUAUGAAACCAACAAUUAUGUGUUUGGAUUGUCCUGUUGGAUUGCUACGGUGAAAUCCAGAGAGGAGGACUUGAAGAGCUGCAGUCCCUUACAUCAACAUCAAAAUGGAACCCAAGGACAACCACGCUGAACAUUCAGGUUCCUUAUAUCCUCUAUAUCCUGUAGUAGAGAAUGAAAAUGUUGUCCAGUGUAUGACACAGUUACUUUUUACUGAAAAAAAUUAAUCAAGGGAUUUAAAAACACAGACAGAGUAGGAAACUUCUGAGAACUUAGGAUUUCUGGAUGCUUUGAGAACUCCCAAACUGGCAGAAUUCAGUUCAUACAUAGCAUAGUCCUAACAAAGACACCAUUGAAAAUAUCAUCUCCAGCCACUGCUCUGUAGACACCAAACCCUUCGUGGUGUCUUCCCUUCUCAAGCUAAACAAGCCCAGCUCCCUCAACCUUUCUUUAUAGGAGAGAUGCUCCAACCCCCCCCCCGGUGUCUUUGUGACCCCCUCUGAACCUGUUCCAAAAGCUCAACGUCAUUUUCUUUAAGUAUUUGUUCAAUGCUGGUAUUUUUAUUCGUGAAAAUUCAGGCUGUUGAUUCCAC